rnacentral:rRNA from 1 species
UACGGAGGGUGCGAGCGUUAUCCGGAUUUAUUGGGUUUAAAGGGUGCGCAGGCGGCACGGCAAGCCGGCGGUCAAAUCGCGGGGCUCAACCCCGCCCAGCCGUCGGAACUGCCGGGCUAGAGUGGGCGAGAAGUGCGCGGAAUGCGUGGUGUAGCGGUGAAGUGCAUAGAUAUCACGCAGAACUCCGAUUGCGAAGGCAGCGCACCGGCGCCCUACUGACGCUCAGGCACGAAAGCGUGGGUAUCGAACAGG